CCAGAGACCUCAAUUUUCCUCUUCCUCUGAUGUGACUCUCUUGAGUCAGACUUGAACUUCAGGUAUGGUCUGAGAGGGGGCCAGAUCACCUGUCUGCUGGUGCAUCUCAGGACAAACGUUUUUUGGGAGCUCAGUCUUUGAGGACAAAAUAAAAAAAAUGCCAAUCACAUUGGCAUCACAACAUUUGGAGGCUUUAAUUACAUUAAUUUGAUUUUUAUUCCUCACUGCAACUCUACUCAUCUGUUUCCAGGCACAGUGGAGUCAAGGAAACCUGAUGUUGUUUUCAAUUUACCAACAUCUCUUUGGAAAACAGACCCAUCUCAUUGUAGAAAUGUUCUGAAAACAAACUGAAACAAUUCCUCCUACCCCCAAAAAGAGCAAAAAGUGCCAGAGCUUUAUUUUACACUUUGCUUGGAUAAUAUUUGGACAUAGAUGUUACCUGGCAAUUGUAUGUUUAUUGACAUUGUAUUUUUAACACUUCAGAUGAUUAAGCUGGACUCACAGGCAUUUAAUUUUUAAUUUCAAGAAAAAGCUUUCCCAUGACAACAGAGUGCAUAGUUUCAAGGUGAAAUUCAGCCUAGGAAAGACCUAUGGACUGGCACAGAAAGUGUGAAAUACCACAUGAGCUCUGCUAAGAAGUCAGUAGAGUUGUAAGAAGUCAAUGCCGAAUCAGCUGAUACCUGGGAGAAGAAAACCACAAACUCGUUUCUCUCUGCAGAGCAUUUCCAGCACACCUUAAGCCUGUGAACCACGCUGGCAUGACUGUUCCAAGAGCAUCACAGCUUAUUGUGUGUGAUGUAUGCCAGUAGGCUUAGCUUGGCUGAAAUGCUUCUGGGAGGCAAAGCUGUGCAAGAUAAGCUCCAGGCAGCCCUGAUAGCGAUGGAGAGACUCCUGGUGUGCAUCAAUCAACCCAGAGAAGAGGGACCAAAAUAGCUGAUUACUGGGUCUGUAAUGUCUUAUCCUCAGAACAAACUCAAAUUUUCAGUUAGCUUUUAGCAUGGCUUGUUUUCCUCAUCCUUCUGCAUGCCCAGCUAAAAUCUUCCAGGAAGUGAUCCUUGUUUCAACAGUAGGUACAUCAGGUGCAGGUAUUUUAAGGAGGAGGUAGUUUAAGCCAAGGGCUGUAUAUUUCCAUGUUUUUCUAAUCCCCAGUCAAAAGUCCAUCUGCCACUAAGUGGUUUAUAACUUGAGAG